AGGGAGGGAGAGAUGGGGAGUAGGGGUAUAUAUAAGGCUAGGAGCACAGUGGCGGUCGCUCGCUAGCUGGAUAUCUAUGAGCCCAUAUUGGAGUGGUCGAUAAAGCUAUUUUUUUUCUUUUUAUUUUUUCCCCUGUGAGACUAAUCAACUUUGACAUCCGCUGCUUUCGUUUUUGAUUGAUGAUUGUGAGUCCGCAUAGGAUCAUAUCGGCGUUCGUAGCUACAUUUUUCAUGUUUCUUUUUUUCUGCAAGUCAAAUCUAAAGUUUUUUUUUUGCGAGUAAUAAAUCUAACGUUCUUUUUUUUUUAAAGGAACUGGAGGGGCGAUCUAAGGUUCUUUGACUGUGAGUCCGCAUAGGAGUCCGUCGUUUUCAACAUUCCUUUUUUCCGGGCAAGUUAGAUCCGACUUUAGACUUGUUAUUAGGUUCAUUGCUUCCGUUUUCUUCACUCUGAUCAUUCUGUUAUGUCGACUGCUUAAUAAACAAAUACUCUCGUACCACUAAGUUGCUAGGAAUAAAACCUAUUAUUAUUAAAAUCUAUAUAAGCCGAUGACCAAACUGUAACUCCAAGUUAUAAGUAUAUAUGGAAAAUAAAAAAGGUCUCUAUUGUAAACAUCAUUAAAUUAGUAAAUAGACUACUUCUUGAUAUGACGACAACUAACCCUUGCUAACUCUAAUAAAAAAUUUGAAUUACGUUUCUUAUUAUAAGUCAUCAAAGGAAGUCACGAAGCUCAGAAUUUAUCUCUACCAAUACAUGGAUAUUAUAAAAACUAAAGUUAUGACAUAAUAUGAGUAAAUAUUUCUGUGCCUUAAAACGGAAGAAGAAAUUAAUCAGGAUAUAUA
rnacentral:lncRNA from 1 species